rnacentral:rRNA from 1 species
AACGAACGCUGGCGGCAUGCCUAACACAUGCAAGUCGAACGAGACCUUCGGGUCUAGUGGCGCACGGGUGCGUAACGCGUGGGAACCUGCCCUUAGGUUCGGCAUAACUCCCCGAAAGGGGUGCUAAUACCGGAUAAUGUCUUCGGACCAAAGAUUUAUCGCCUUUGGAUGGGCCCGCGUUGGAUUAGCUAGUUGGUAGGGUAAAAGCCUACCAAGGCGACGAUCCAUAGCUGGUCUGAGAGGAUGAUCAGCCACACUGGGACUGAGACACGGCCCAGACUCCUACGGGAGGCAGCAGUGGGGAAUAGUGGACAAUGGGCGAAAGCCUGAUCCAGCAAUGCCGCGUGAGUGAUGAAGGCCUUAGGGUUGUAAAGCUCCUUUACCCGGGAUGAUAAUGACAGUACCGGGAGAAUAAGCUCCGGCUAACUCCGUG